rnacentral:lncRNA from 1 species
GCUCUAGAAGAGCCAAUUAUUACUAUGUUGGAGAAACACAAUUGAGUAUUGUGCUGUAGUAAGUCUCAAAGAAACUUAUUCAGUUUCCAAUGUACACGCGAAAGCGCUGAUUAUAGUGAGACUAUAAAUAAAGGAAAGAUUUGAUAUCUUCUAUUACAACAACUUGUAGCGGGAUAAUGUGUAUAUGAAAAGCUACCCGCUUUAUUCUCCAGUUUGUACUACACAAACAAAAGAAUGCCACAAUAAAGUGGAUAUUUAUUGNNNNGAUUAUAUUGAGACUAGAAAUAAAGGAAAAAUUUGAUAUCUUCUAUUACUACAACUUGUAGCGGGAUAAUGUGUAUAUGAAAAGCUACCCGCUUUAUUCUCCAGUUUGUACUACACAAACAAAAGAAUGCCACAAUAAAGUGGAUGUUUAUCGAUAUAAAAAUCCAUAGUAUUAUAAA